rnacentral:rRNA from 1 species
AUUGAACGCUGGCGGCAUGCCUAACACAUGCAAGUCGAACGGAUGGCGGACGGGUGAACAGUGGCGGGGAAAGUGACUGAUGGAGGGGUAAAACUGGGAGAAACGGUAGCUAAUACCGCUAACGAUGAGAUGGGCCCAGAUGGGAUUAGGUAGUCGGUGGGGUAACGGCUCACCAAGGCGACGAUCCCUAGCUGGUCUGAGAGGAUGACCAGCCACACUGGAACUGAGACACGGUCCAGACUCCUACGGGAGGCAGCAGUGGGGAAUAUUUGACAAUGGGCGAAAGCCUGAUGCAGCAAUGCCGCGUGAGUGAAGAAGGUCUUCGGGUUGUAAAGCACUUUCAGCAGGGAGGCGUUACCCGCAGAAGAAGCAACGGCUAACUCCGUGCCAGCAGCCGCGGUAAUUC